rnacentral:rRNA from 1 species
AGUGAACGCUGGCGGUAGGCCUAACACAUGCAAGUCGAACGGCAGCACAGUAAGAGCUUGCUCUUACGGGUGGCGAGUGGCGGACGGGGGAGGAAUACAGCGGAAUCUACUUUUUCGUGGGGGAUAACGUAGGGAAACUUACGCUAAUACCGCAUACGACCUACGGGUGAAAGCAGGAGAUCUUCGGACCUUGCGCGAAUGAAUGAGCCGAUGACGGAUUAGCUAGUGUGCGGGGUAAAGGCCCACCAAGUCGACGAUCCGUAGCUGGGCUGAGAGGAUGAUCAGCCCCACUGGAACUGUACCACGGUCCAGACUCCUACGGGAGGCAGCAGUGGGGAAUAUUAGACAAUGGGCGGAAGCCUGAUCCAGCCCUGCCGCGUGGGUGGAGAGGGCCUUCGGGUUUUAAAUCCCUUUUGUUGGGAAAGAAAAGCAGCAGGUUAAAACCCCGCUGUUCUGACGGUACCCAAAGAAUAAGCACCGGCUAACUUCGUG